rnacentral:rRNA from 1 species
UACGAGGGGGGCAAGCGUUGUUCGGAAUUAUUGGGCGUAAAGGGUGCGUAGGCGGUCUGAUAAGUCAUCUGUGAAAUCUAUGGGCUCAGCCCAUAGUCUGCAGGCGAAACUGUCGGGCUUGAGUAUGGGAGAGGUGAGUGGAAUUUCCGGUGUAGCGGUGAAAUGCGUAGAUAUCGGAAGGAACACCUGUGGCGAAAGCGGCUCACUGGACCAUUACUGACGCUGAUGCACGAAAGCUAGGGGAGCAAACAGG